rnacentral:rRNA from 1 species
UACAGAGGGGGCAAGCGUUGUUCGGAAUUACUGGGCGUAAAGGGCCAGUAGGCGGCCAACUAAGUCCGACGUGAAAUCCCAAGGCUUAACCUUGGAACUGCGUCGGAUACUGGAUGGCUUGAAUUCGGGAGAGGGAUGCAGAAUUCCAGGUGUAGCGGUGAAAUGCGUAGAUAUCUGGAGGAACACCGGUGGCGAAGGCGGCAUCCUGGACCGGCAUUGACGCUAAACAGCGAAAGCCAGGGGAGCAAACGGG